UACGUAGGGGGCAAGCGUUGUCCGGAAUCAUUGGGCGUAAAGAGCGUGUAGGCGGCUCGAUAAGUCUGCUGUGAAAGUCCAGGGCUCAACCCUGGAAGGCCGGUGGAAACUGUCGGGCUAGAGUCCGGAAGAGGCGAGUGGAAUUCCCGGUGUAGCGGUGAAAUGCGCAGAUAUCUGGAGGAACACCGGUGGCGAAGGCGGGUCUCUGGGCCGAUACUGACGCUGAGGAGCGAAAGCGUGGGGAGCGAACAGG
rnacentral:rRNA from 1 species